GAUGAACGCUGGCGGCGUGCUUAACACAUGCAAGUCGAGCGAGAAGUUUUGAAAAGAUUCUUCGGAUGAAAUUUAAAAUGGAAAGCGGCAGACGGGUGAGUAACGCGUAGGCAACCUGCCCCAUACAAAGGGAUAGCAUUUGGAAACGAAUAUUAAUACCUUAUGAAACUUAACUAGUGCAUGCUAGGUAGGUCAAAGAUUUAUCGGUAUGGGAUGGGCCUGCGUCUGAUUAGCUAGUUGGUGAGGUAACGGCUCACCAAGGCGACGAUCAGUAGCCGACCUGAGAGGGUGAACGGCCACAUUGGAACUGAGACACGGUCCAAACUCCUACGGGAGGCAGCAGUGGGGAAUAUUGCACAAUGGGGGAAACCCUGAUGCAGCAACGCCGCGUGAACGAUGAAGGCCUUUGGGUCGUAAAGUUCUGUUCUAGGUGAUGAAAACUGACAGUAACCUGGGAGAAAGCCCCGGCUAACUCCGUG
rnacentral:rRNA from 1 species